rnacentral:rRNA from 1 species
GCCUACGGGGGGCAGCAGUGAGGAAUAUUGGACAAUGGACGGAAGGCUGAACCAGCCAAGUCGCGUGAGGGAAUAAGGCCCUAUGGGUCGUAAACCUCUUUUGUCAGGGAGCAAAGGCGUCCACGUGUGGACGAGAGGAGAGUACCUUAAGAAAAAGCAUCGGCUAACUCCGUGCCAGCAGCCGCGGUAAUACGGAGGAUGCGAGCGGUAUCCGGAUUUAUUGGGUUUGAAGGGUGCGUAGGCGGAGUGUCAAGUCAGCGGUAAAAUUUCGGGGCUCAACCACGGCGUGCCGUUG